CCUACGGGAGGCUGCAGUGGGGAAUAUUGCGCAAUGGGCGAAAGCCUGACGCAGCGACGCCGCGUGAGGGAUGAAGGUCUUCGGAUCGUAAACCUCUGUCAGCAGGGAAGAACGGUCACUGUGCUAAUCAGCAGUGAAUUGACGGUACCUGCAAAGGAAGCACCGGCUAACUCCAUGCCAGCAGCCGCGGUAAUACGGAGGGUGCGAGCGUUAAUCGGAAUUACUGGGCGUAAAGCGCUCGUAGGCGGUAUGUCAAGUCAAGGGGGAAAUCCCCGCGCUCAACGUGGGAACUGCCUUUGAAACUGGCAAACUGGAGUGUGGGAGAGGAGAGUGGAAUUCCAGGUGUAGGAGUGAAAUCCGUAGAUAUCUGGAGGAACAUCAGUGGCGAAGGCGACUAUCUGGCACAUAACUGACGCUGAGGAGCGAAAGCGUGGGUAGCAAACAGGAUUAGAUACCCCAGUAGUC
rnacentral:rRNA from 1 species